CAGGAGUGGCAGAAAUCUCACACUACUGUUGAUGUCCAGCAGGGUUAGAGUUGUUUAUUUGCUGCGUCACAUGUAGUUUUAAAUGAGGAAAUCUGCAACUUUCUUUAAAUGGCACAACGGUCAGUUCAAAACAGGGAACGCCAAACUGGCCAUGUGGGUAGUUCAUGUUAGAAGGGGGCAUCCACAGCACUGGCUGUUUAACUGUGGUAUAAUUCCUGCCCUGCUUUAGUGUGUCUGCCUCUGUCAGCUCUUCCAGACAGUUUUGUGUUUAAUUACCUUCCUAACGGCAUUGUCACCAUGACAACACAACAGCAAUGCAAAGAACAUUUCCAGACUGAGGCUGGAAUUAUGGUUCUCUGAGGAUACACAUUCACAUCUCUACAGGUUCACACAUGUAUGUCCUCACCUGGCCUCCUCUCCUCCUCCGCCGUUCUCCUCACCGGUAGGUGUGUCGGCUCUCUCCUG